rnacentral:rRNA from 1 species
GACGAACGCUGGCGGCGUGCCUAAUACAUGCAAGUCGAACGCUGAAGGAGGAGCUUGCUUCUCUGGAUGAGUUGCGAACGGGUGAGUAACGCGUAGGUAACCUGCCUGGUAGCGGGGGAUAACUAUUGGAAACGAUAGCUAAUACCGCAUAAGAGUAGAUGUCGCAUGACAUUUGCUUAAAAGGUGCAAUUGCAUCACUACCAGAUGGACCUGCGUUGUAUUAGCUAGUUGGUGAGGUAACGGCUCACCAAGGCAACGAUACAUAGCCGACCUGAGAGGGUGAUCGGCCACACUGGGACUGAGACACGGCCCAGACUCCUACGGGAGGCAGCAGUAGGGAAUCUUCGGCAAUGGACGGAAGUCUGACCGAGCAACGCCGCGUGAGUGAAGAAGGUUUUCGGAUCGUAAAGCUCUGUUGUAAGAGAAGAACGAGUGUGAGAGUGGAAAGUUCACACUGUGACGGUAGCUUACCAGAAAGGGACGGCUAACUACGUG